rnacentral:rRNA from 1 species
GAGGCAGCAGUAGGGAAUCUUCCACAAUGGACGCAAGUCUGAUGGAGCAACGCCGCGUGAGUGAAGAAGGGUUUCGGCUCGUAAAGCUCUGUUGUUAAAGAAGAACGUGGGUAAGAGUAACUGUUUACCCAGUGACGGUAUUUAACCAGAAAGCCACGGCUAACUACGUGCCAGCAGCCGCGGUAAUACGUAGGUGGCAAGCGUUAUCCGGAUUUAUUGGGCGUAAAGCGAGCGCAGGCGGUCUUUUAAGUCUAAUGUGAAAGCCUUCGGCUCAACCGAAGAAGUGCAUUGGAAACUGGGAGACUUGAGUGCAGAAGAGGACAGUGGAACUCCAUGUGUAGCGGUGAAAUGCGUAGAUAUAUGGAAGAACACCAGUGGCGAAGGCGGCUGUCUGGUCUGCAACUGACGCUGAGGCUCGAAAGCAUGGGUAGCGAACAGGAUUAGAUACCCUGGUAGUCCAUGCCGUAAACGAUGAUUACUAAGUGUUGGAGGGUUUCCGCCCUUCAGUGCUGCAGCUAACGCAUUAAGUAAUCCGCCUGGGGAGUACGACCGCAAGGUUGAAACUCAAAAGAAUUGACGGGGGCCCGCACAAGCGGUGGAGCAUGUGGUUUAAUUCGAAGCUACGCGAAGAACCUUACCAGGUCUUGACAUCUUCUGACAGUCUAAGAGAUUAGAGGUUCCCUUCGGGGACAGAAUGACAGGUGGUGCAUGGUUGUCGUCAGCUCGUGUCGUGAGAUGUUGGGUUAAGUCCCGCAACGAGCGCAACCCUUAUUACUAGUUGCCAGCAUUAAGUUGGGCACUCUAGUGAGACUGCCGGUGACAAACCGGAGGAAGGUGGGGACGACGUCAAAUCAUCAUGCCCCUUAUGACCUGGGCUACACACGUGCUACAAUGGAUGGUACAACGAGUCGCGAGACCGCGAGGUUAAGCUAAUCUCUUAAAACCAUUCUCAGUUCGGACUGUAGGCUGCAACUCGCCUACACGAAGUCGGAAUCGCUAGUAAUCCCGGAUCAGCAUGCCGCGGUGAAUACGUUCCCGGGCCUUGUACACACCGCCCGUCACACC